CUCGUAGGCGGCCAACUAAGUCAGACGUGAAAUCCCCAGGCUCAACCUGGGAACUGCGUCUGAUACUGGAUGGCUUGAAUCCGGGAGAGGGAUGCAGAAUUCCAGGUGUAGCGGUGAAAUGCGUAGAUAUCUGGAGGAAUACCGGUGGCGAAGGCGGCAUCCUGGACCGGCAUUGACGCUGAGGAGCGAAAGCCAGGGGAGCGAAACG
rnacentral:rRNA from 1 species